UACAGAGGGGGCAAGCGUUGUUCGGAAUUACUGGGCGUAGAGGGCGCGUAGGCGGCCUGUUAAGUCGAACGUGAAAUCCCCGGGCUCAACCCGGGAACUGCGUCCGAUACUGGCAGGCUUGAAUCCGGGAGAGGGAUGCGGAAUUCCAGGUGUAGCGGUGAAAUGCGUAGAUAUCUGGAGGAACACCGGUGGCGAAGGCGGCAUCCUGGACCGGCAUUGACGCUGAGGCGCGAAAGCCAGGGGAGCAAACGGG
rnacentral:rRNA from 1 species